ensembl:lncRNA
AGCCAAUCAGAAUCCACCUGACCAGCUUGAGCAUUUAAAGAGGCAGAUGACAAAACCUCAGCGCAUGCAGAAGGUUAUCAUAUGUUGGUGUAGAUGCUAAUAUUGUUAUAGUUAUCUUUUUCAUUAUCGUUCUUGGUGUGAAUGGGCCUUUAGAUAGGGAGAAAAGGAAUAAUCUGUCUGUGUGUGUAUGCAGGAGUAUCUCAGUGUGACCCUAGAAUCCGUCCUGGCCAAGAAAAUCACAGAAGCGUCACUGAUGAGUAGUGAUUCAAUUACAGUAGUGCAAGGUGUCCUUCUUUCUACCUGCCUUCCGGGUGAUCUCUCCCUCUCUCUAUCGUUCCUUCUUACUCUCUUUUUCUGGGACAAUAGGGGACUGGAGGUGGAGGCCAGGAACUCUAAAACUACUUCUGGUACCUCAGGGCUCAAUGUUUAGGGUGGCUUUGUCUUCCAAAAGUAGGGAAUGUUCUUUCCCUCUGACCACAAUAUGGACGUGAACUCCGGAAAAGACACUGUCACUGCCAUGGAGACAUUCUGGAACUGUUGCCUUGGAAACAGUAAUCAUGGUUUGAGCGAGGGGUGAAAUGGAAGAGUUUUUUGAGGGUGGAAGAGUGUGAUCCUCUCCACCUUGUUUUUAGAGCUGCAACUGAGUCAAAGAUUUGGCAGAGAUGGAGACCCAAUCUUGCUUCCGCCUCAGCUGUUUCCGAAGGAAGACAAACACGCCCCACGCCAAUAAAACCGCAGCGCGAUGCUCCCCCAAUGUCACCGAACGGAUGAACUUUGCGGGGAGCCGCAGAACCCUCACCAGCUCCCCACAGUUCCGGCUGUGGAUCCAGCAUGUAAUAGAAGAUGGUGAGAAUUCAAUAAUCAUCAGAGUCCUCAUCUCCACAUGCUCUACUGAACAGGAAAAUAAUUACAUUUCUUUCACUUUUUUUGUCUCAGAUAAAUUAUGGAUCCCUUAUCUGGCUCCAAGGAUAAACGAAUCUGAUUCACGGGCCAAUUAACUAGCAUUCUUGCACCUCGAUGGAGCGUGCUCAGUGUCUCAUGAAUGAGUGGCAUGCGCCGAGAACAGCACGAGAAGAAGCAUGUGGCUUUUAUGCGAUUCUCAUAACACAUUCUCUAUCAAACACAACAGGUUUCCUUGCACAUAUUUCUAGUUUAUGAUUCUACGAUGUAUAAUAUAUCGCCCAAUCGAUGUUCAACACCAUCUGUAUUCUGGUUCUAAAAAAAUGGUUUCUUUCAUAGCUUCUUACAAUCGAGGAUACUCUGAACCCCAUCCCCCCCCACCACUCUUACUCAUCGUACACCUGAC